GUCGAACGAUGAAGCCCAGCUUGCUGGGUGGAUUAGUGGCGAACGGGUGAGUAACACGUGAGUAACCUGCCCUUAACUCUGGGAUAAGCCUGGGAAACUGGGUCUAAUACCGGAUAGGAGCGUCCACCGCAUGGUGGGUGUUGGAAAGAUUUAUCGGUUUUGGAUGGACUCGCGGCCUAUCAGCUUGUUGGUGAGGUAAUGGCUCACCAAGGCGACGACGGGUAGCCGGCCUGAGAGGGUGACCGGCCACACUGGGACUGAGACACGGCCCAGACUCCUACGGGAGGCAGCAGUGGGGAAUAUUGCACAAUGGGCGCAAGCCUGAUGCAGCGACGCCGCGUGAGGGAUGACGGCCUUCGGGUUGUAAACCUCUUUCAGUAGGGAAGAAGCGAAAGUGACGGUACCUGCAGAAGAAGCACCGGCUAACUACGUGCCAGCAGCCGCGGUAAUACGUAGGGUGCGAGCGUUAUCCGGAAUUAUUGGGCGUAAAGAGCUCGUAGGCGGUUUGUCGCGUCUGUCGUGAAAGUCCGGGGCUUAACCCCGGAUCUGCGGUGGGUACGGGCAGACUAGAGUGCAGUAGGGGAGACUGGAAUUCCUGGUGUAGCGGUGGAAUGCGCAGAUAUCAGGAGGAACACCGAUGGCGAAGGCAGG
rnacentral:rRNA from 1 species